UAGCGUAUAUUAAAGUUGUUGCAGUUAAAAAGCUCGUAGUUGGAUUUCGGAAUGGGUCAAUUGGUCCGCCGCAAGGUGAGUUACUGGUUGGUCUGUUCUUCUUCGCAAAGACUGCGUAUGCACUUUAUUGGGUGUGCGUAGGAUUUACGACGUUUACUUUGAAAAAAUUAGAGUGUUCAAAGCAGGCUAUCGCUUGAAUACAUGAGCAUGGAAUAAUGGAAUAGGACUUUGGUCUUAUUUUAUUGGUUUCUGAGACCGAAGUAAUGAUUAAGAGGGACAAUUGGGGGCAUCCGUAUUUCGUUGUC
rnacentral:rRNA from 1 species